rnacentral:rRNA from 1 species
UAGGGAAUCUUCGGCAAUGGACGAAAGUCUGACCGAGCAACGCCGCGUGAGUGAAGAAGGUUUUCGGAUCGUAAAACUCUGUUGUUAGAGAAGAACAAGGACGUUAGUAACUGAACGUCCCCUGACGGUAUCUAACCAGAAAGCCACGGCUAACUACGUGCCAGCAGCCGCGGUAAUACGUAGGUGGCAAGCGUUGUCCGGAUUUAUUGGGCGUAAAGCGAGCGCAGGCGGUUUCUUAAGUCUGAUGUGAAAGCCCCCGGCUCAACCGGGGAGGGUCAUUGGAAGCUGGGAGACUGGGGUGCAGAAGAGGAGGGUGGAAUUCCAUGUGUAGCGGUGAAAUGCGUAGAUAUAUGGAGGAACACCAGUGGCGAAGGCGGCUCUCUGGUCUGUAACUGACGCUGAGGCUCGAAAGCGUGGGGAGCAAACAGG